AUUGAACGCUGGCGGCAUGCCUUACACAUGCAAGUCGAACGGCAGCACGGGGCAACCUGGUGGCGAGUGGCGAACGGGUGAGUAAUGCAUCGGAACGUACCUUUCAGUGGGGGAUAACGUAGCGAAAGUUACGCUAAUACCGCAUAUUCUGUGAGCAGGAAAGCAGGGGAUCGCAAGACCUUGCGCUGAUUGAGCGGCCGAUGUCAGAUUAGCUAGUUGGUGAGGUAAAGGCUCACCCAGGCGACGAUCUGUAGCGGGUCUGAGAGGAUGAUCCGCCACACUGGAACUGAGACACGGUCCAGACUCCUACGGGAGUCAGCAGUGGGGAAUUUUGGACAAUGGGGGCAACCCUGAUCCAGCCAUGCCGCGUGAGUGAAGAAGGCCUUCGGGUUGUAAAGCUCUUUCGGCCGGGAAGAAAUCGCACGGGCUAAUACCCUGUGUGGAUGACGGUACCGGAAUAAGAAGCACCGGCUAACUACGUGCCAGCCGCCGCGGUAA
rnacentral:rRNA from 1 species